rnacentral:rRNA from 1 species
UACGUAGGGUGCGGGCGUUGUCCGGAAUUAUUGGGCGUAAAGAGCUUGUAGGCGGUUUGUCGCGUCUGCUGUGAAAAUCCGGGGCUCAACCCCGGACUUGCAGUGGGUACGGGCAGGCUAGAGUGCGGUAGGGGAGAUUGGAAUUCCUGGUGUAGCGGUGGAAUGCGCAGAUAUCAGGAGGAACACCAAUGGCGAAGGCAGAUCUCUGGGCCGUAACUGACGCUGAGGAGCGAAAGCAUGGGGAGCGAACAGG